AGAGUUUGAUCAUGGCUCAGAGCGAACGCUGGCGGAAUGCUUAACACAUGCAAGUCGCACGGGGGCUUCGGCUCUAGUGGCGGACGGGUGAGUAACGCGUAGGAACGUGUCUUGGGGUGGGGGAUAACGCUGGGAAACUGGCGCUAAUACCGCAUGUCUGCUGCGGCAGAAAGCCUUCGGGUGCCUUGAGAGCGGCCUGCGUCCGAUUAGCUAGUUGGUGGGGUAAAGGCUUACCAAGGCUUCGAUCGGUAGCUGGUCUGAGAGGACGAUCAGCCACACUGGGACUGAGACACGGCCCAGACUCCUACGGGAGGCAGCAGUGGGGAAUAUUGGACAAUGGGCGCAAGCCUGAUCCAGCAAUUCCGCGUGGGUGAAGAAGGUCUUCGGAUUGUAAAGCCCUUUCGACAGGGACGAUGAUGACGGUACCUGUAGAAGAAGCCCCGGCUAACUUCGUGCCAGCAGCCGCGGUAAUACGAAGGGGGCUAGCGUUGCUCGGAAUUACUGGGCGUAAAAGGGCGCGUAGGCGGCGCUGUUAGUCAGGCGUGAAAUUCCUGGGCUCAACCUGGGGACUGCGCUUGAUACGGCAGUGCUUGAGGAUGGAAGAGGCUCGCGGAAUUCCCAGUGUAGAGGUGAAAUUCGUAGAUAUUGGGAAGAACACCGGUGGCGAAGGCGGCGAGCUGGUCCAUUACUGACGCUGAGGCGCGACAGCGUGGGGAGCAAACAGGAUUAGAUACCCUAGUAGUCC
rnacentral:rRNA from 1 species